AGUGAACGCUGGCGGUAGGCCUAACACAUGCAAGUCGAACGGCAGCACAGGAGAGCUUGCUCUCUGGGUGGCGAGUGGCGGACGGGUGAGGAAUACAUCGGAAUCUACUCUGUCGUGGGGGAUAACGUAGGGAAACUUACGCUAAUACCGCAUACGACCUACGGGUGAAAGCAGGGGACCUUCGGGCCUUGCGCGAUUGAAUGAGCCGAUGUCGGAUUAGCUAGUUGGCGGGGUAAAGGCCCACCAAGGCGACGGUCCGUAGCUGGUCUGAGAGGAUGAUCAGCCACACUGGAACUGAGACACGGUCCAGACUCCUACGGGAGGCAGCAGUGGGGAAUAUUGGACAAUGGGCGCAAGCCUGAUCCAGCCAUACCGCGUGGGUGAAGAAGGCCUUCGGGCUGUAAAGCCCUUUUGUUGGGAAAGAAAUCCAGCUGGCUAAUACCCGGUUGGGAUGACGGUACCCAAGGAAUAAGCACCGGCUAACUUCGUGCCAGCAGCCGCGGUAA
rnacentral:rRNA from 1 species